rnacentral:tRNA from 1 species
GGGGAUUUAGCUCAGUGGUAGAGCGCUUGCUUAGGAAGCGAAAGGCCCUGGGUUCGGUCCCCAGCUCCG